CUAAAGUGGCCCUCAAAUAAUAUUAAUUGGUCAUAAGCCCUGCCCUAUGCCCAUAUAUGUAAGUAUAUUGUUAUGUAUAAUUUUUGGAUCUGUUGCACGCGUUGUUUGUGUAAAAACGACGAUGGUGAUGGCGUUCUCGGCAACCACGGAUACGUCGUGUAUAAUAUAUAAUGUAUUUUAACGUUGUAUAGUUAUUUAGGUGCGCGCAAGAGAGAGCGAGGGCGUCCGGCACGGUGUCCCGGUCACUGACCGACACGGCGGCGGUCGCCACUGCCGCCGCCACGGCAGCGUCAGCAAGCAGCAGCGGCAACUGCAGCAGUGGCUUUCACCAACGUGAACAUAUAGCUGCAACAGCAUCUGCAUCGCCAUCCACGAACGUGGCUUGUGUGUGAUUACGAAUACAAUAAACGCACAUAUUAUAGCGAGAACAGAGAGCAGGGAGACUGAGAGAGGCUACCCAAGCUUAUACAACCAAAUAGUAUUUAUACAUUUUUAGAUUCUGAGCGGCGCGAUGAAUGUAUUAAUUUUACAAUGAUACAUAAUUUCAAGGUAUCCCUGCAACAAAUUUGGACGAAAAUUACAAAUCUUGCAAAAUGUGUAUAUAUUGAUCGAAUUGUACACAAAAACUACAAAAUCACGGUAUUUUAAAAGCUACAUUGGUAUUGGAGGUUAUAUAAUAAAUAAUUAUAUAUAUUUUUUAUUUUUGAGUAGUGAGAUCCUAACAAAAGUUUUAUGUAACUUCUAUAUAAUAUAUGGUAUUAGAAAAUGGACCUCAUAAUAUAAGUAUCUUGUCAUAUCCAUCGGUUUGUUAAUGUAUAUUUACUGGUAAUUGUUAAG